CCCUUAGAUGUUCUGGGCCGCACGCGCGCUACACUGAUGCAUUCAACGAGUCUAAAACCUGCUCUGAUAGGGGUGGGUAAUCUUUUGAAUGUGCAUCGUGAUUGGGAUAGAUGAUUGCAAUUUUUCAUCUUCAACGAGGAAUGCCUAGUAAACGCAAGUCAUCAGCUUGCAUUGAUUACGUCCCUGCCCUUUGUACACACCGCCCGUCGCACCUACCGAUUGAAUGACUCGGUGAAAAAUUGGGACUGUGAUUGAAAUUGCUUCAUUGCGAAUUUAAUCAUGGAAACUUUCUUUAACCUAGGCAUUUAGAGGAAGGUGAAGUCGUAACA
rnacentral:rRNA from 1 species